rnacentral:rRNA from 1 species
GUGGGGAAUUUUCCGCAAUGGGCGAAAGCCUGACGGAGUGACGCCGCGUGUGGGAUGAAGGCCUUCGGGUCGUAAACCACUGUCAGUGGGAAAGAUGGGUGCCGGCGCGAUAACCGCCGGCAUCUGACGGUACCUGCAGAGGAAGCCCCGGCCAACUCUGUGCCAGCAGCCGCGGUAAGACAGAGGGGGCAAGCGUUGCUCGGAAUUACUGGGCGUAAAGGGCGCGUAGGCGGGAUGGCAAGUCGGUCGUGAAAUCCUUCGGCUCAACCGGAGAACGUCGAUCGAUACUGCCGUCCUUGAGGAUUGCAGAGGAGACUGGAAUUCCCGGUGUAGCGGUGAAAUGUGUAGAGAUCGGGAGGAACACCGGUGGCGAAGGCGGGUCUCUGGGCAAUUCCUGACGCUGAGGCGCGAAAGCGUGGGGAGCAAACGGGAUUAGAAACCCCGGUAGUCC